GGAGUUAGCCGGUGCUUCUUCUGUGAGUGAUGUCCUUCCUGCCGGUUAUUGACCCGCAGGCCUUCUUCCUCACUGAAAGUGCUUUACAACCCGAAGGCCUUCUUCACACACGCGGCAUGGCUGGAUCAGGGUUGCCCCCAUUGUCCAAUAUUCCCCACUGCUGCCUCCCGUAGGAGUCUGGGCCGUGUCUCAGGUCCCAGUGUGGCUGAUCAUCCUCUCAGACCAGCUACGGAUCGUCGCCUUGGUGAGCCGUUACCUCACCAACCAGCUAAUCCGACAUAGGCUCAUCCGAUAGCGCGAGGCCCGAAGGUCCCCCGCUUUCCCCCGUAGGGCGUAUGCGGUAUUAGCCUGGGUUUCCCCAGGUUAUCCCCCACUACCGGGCAGAUUCCUAUGCAUUACUCACCCGUCCGCCGCUCGCCACCAGGGAGCAAGCUCCCCGUGCCUGCCGCUCGACUUGCAUGUGUUAGGCCUGCCGCCAGCGUUCAUCUGAGCAGAAUACAAACUACUCGA
rnacentral:rRNA from 1 species